AUAAGUGCUACAACUCGGCGCUUGUUUUCACGCUCAGAAUUCACAAGUUUCGUAUACCCAGUUACUCAAGUACCGGAAUAUAUAGCAAGCACUCUUGUUUUAGUUUACAUUAUACUUUGCAUUACUCUGAUGAAGCCAAUACGAGAGUGUGUUGCAAGUAUUCAAGGCGAAGUUCUGGAAAACCUAUUCCAACACAACUUCUGAGUUCUGAUUGGUUGACAGAAUAAGUAAAGUUUGUGAUUUUGUGAUAAACGAAGUUUAGGAAAGCGUAACAAUAAAAACCGUCAAGUUUAUUAAGGUUGCUUGGGUUGCCACUGCCGUAUAUGGGUCAAGUCACUUGUUUUAAACUCUUUGCUACAGAUUGCUUGUACAGUGCAGUUGGUGCAUUCAUAUGACUACCCAUUUUAUAGUAAAGCAACGACUCGUGGUUCAUGCAGGAUAGAAAAUGAGACAUGAUAAAACCACUGAAGUUAUUUCCCUUUGAUACCCAUGUGAAUGGAAAGUGAUAGCUAUGGAACUUGCUCAGCCAUGAUUAGCUAUAAAAGUGUCUUGAGGGUUGAUAUCAUUGCAUUCUGAGCUGCAAGUCUUUGCCACAUACCACUGAUACCACACACAGGUGAAAUUGAUACAACUUGGAAAUGGGAAACUCACAAGAAUCAUCUGUGUAUUGGCUAUGGAAGGGCAGGUGAGGAUAAGCAGCAGCAGACAACGAAGUGGAAGCUGUCAUCACUCAAGAGAUCAGUUCAAGGUGUUUGUAAUUACUACAGAAGUUGAAGUGAGCAUCUCAGUAAAGGAGGUAUUAUCAUGGUAAUCAAGUUUUUGCAAAUUUGCUUUUCUUGCCACUUUAGGACCUUUGUUUUUCUCAGUAAAGACAAGGGGGCAAAGUAUCAUUAUUUUCAAUAAAAAUCAUUGUAACUAAAUUUUCAUAGCUGUAGGUGAAUUCCAAAAUUUUAAAUAUGCUGGGGUAUGAUGAAGACUUUUAUAUGUAUGUCAAGCUUUGCUGCCAAACUUAAAUUUUCAUAGCUGUAGGUGAAUUUUAAAAUUUUAGAAACUGCUAGGGUAAUGGUGAAGAUAUGAAUACAUUUAAUUAAAUGUCGAAGAUUUGCAGCAAAACCAGGUUUAACUACCAGUUUAGGAAGUCAGUCAUAGUGUACCCAUGUAUUUACUUGUUAAUAAUAUUGCUGUUGUUUGUUCUAGGUUGGUUACUGUCUACUAUCCAUAACCACUUGUCUGUCUUCAUCUUAACAAAAAUGGGUCAGAUCCUGACAAUAGCUCAUUGUAUUCUGAGCAGCUUUUAAUAAGUAUCCUUCCACUGGUGACCUGUGGAGAGACUCGCUAGACCAAUAUGGUUCUCAAGCUUGCCCUACAAACCAAACAAUCUCCAACAGACUGUAUUCAGUGCUUAAGCUCUGCCUUGCUUUCACUCAAAAGCUCAACAUUGACCUCCAAUCAGUAAUGAAGCAUGAUUCUUGCACCAUCUCCUAGCAACCUACAGACUAAGGACGAUCAUGCCUACUGAUAUGAGAACCCAUUAAGAGACCAAAUAUGGCACUUAAGCUCUAACUAGCUCUCUCAAACAUGAAAAAGGCAUCUCAUUGGUGUAUAGACAAAAGCUUAAAACUGAGCCUGUUGUUAAAGAGACACUAUGGAGGAAUAUACCACUAAUAUGCAUAAAGCAUGUUUAUAGUUUGGAUCCGACCUGCUUAUUUCACAAGAUUUAGACUUACCAGUCUAAAUCUUUGACAAGCAAGCAUGUCAGAUCAGCUAUACAAAUAAUUUAUCAAUUUUGUGAUAUUUUCCUCCAUUCUCUCUUAAGCUCUUAGUCCAUUAAACCCCAGAAUCUGAGGGAAGAACAGAGCUCGUCUAUAUCAUGCUAUUGACAUACCUUUUUCAUGCUCAUGUGUGUUUGCUAGCUAGAGCUUAAGAGAUAUAUUUGGUCUGUAAUGGGUUUUCAUAUCAGUAGGCAUGAUCGUCUUUAGUCCUUAGGUUGCUAGAUGGUGUGAGAACUGUGCUCCAUCUACUGAUGGAGGACAUUCUUAAGCUUUUGAGAGAGAGCCAGAGCUCAGUGCUUGACUGAUUACACUCUUGGAGGAUGUUGGUUUAUUAGGGCAAGACUGAGUGAGAACCAUAUAAUACUCUAGGUGAAGUGUA